rnacentral:rRNA from 1 species
AGUGAACGCUGGCGGUAGGCCUAACACAUGCAAGUCGAACGGCAGCACAGUAAGAGCUUGCUCUUACGGGUGGCGAGUGGCGGACGGGUGAGGAAUACAUCGGACUCUACUUUUUCGUGGGGGAUAACGUAGGGAAACUUACGCUAAUACCGCAUACGACCUACGGGUGAAAGCAGGGGAUCUUCGGACCUUGCGCGAUUGAAUGAGCCGAUGUCGGAUUAGCUAGUUGGCGGGGUAAAGGCCCACCAAGGCGACGAUCCGUAGCUGGUCUGAGAGGAUGAUCAGCCACACUGGAACUGAGACACGGUCCAGACUCCUACGGGAGGCAGCAGUGGGGAAUAUUGGACAAUGGGCGCGAGCCUGAUCCAGCCAGACCGCGUGGGUGAAGAAGGCCUUCGGGUUGUAAAGCCCUUUUUGUUGGGAAAGAAAAGCUGCAGGUUAAUACCCCGCUGUUCUGACGGUACCCAAAGAAUAAGCACCGGCUAACUUCGUG